AGCAGUUACCACAGUCACACGGAUCCACCAUAAUGCACUGCCUCAUCACAGGCCAUGGACUGAACUCUUCAAAUCUAGCUUCAAACUGAAAUUCUCCACUGCACGCUCAAACCCAGGCCUGUGGCAAAAAAAAGCAGCCAUGAGAAGAAGAAGCCAGAGGACUCACCUGCUGGACACAAGGGAGGUGCAUCAGCCACCUGAUGAGACUUCUCAGAAGCAGAUGUCCACUGGUGAUGCAUGGCCGGAUUUCAAGCUCACACAGCAUAAUUUACAGCCCUAGAACGAACAGCUUUACAACUUUACACACUAGUGACUCAGGCUGAGUGAAGGCAGGUUCCCGGCACCGUCCUGCCCCUGGUGGGCGGCUCACAUCCUGCGUGGCUGGCAGCACCGUCCCCCGCUGCAGUCCCUGGACCAACUGCCAGCGGAUCCACAUGCGGCGUCCCACACCCAGAUGCCAGCAAGCAUCAGCUGCACAGCUCGCAGUGGAAGGCACAGUACCAGGUAGCACCUCUGGACUACGUGUUUAUCAGUUUCAGCUUCCUCUUCUAAGCAAAAUGGACAUAAGAGUGUAACUGGGAUUAAUGUUGAAUUAAGUGAA